AAGAGCUUGGGAGACUUGGCCUGGCAGGCGACCUGCACUCUGCACACCUGGCUAGCCAUAAGACACCCAGUUUGUGGAGGAAAGACCUAUGAUGUCUGCUGAGACCAGCCAUAGUCCUGGGGGAACAAUCUCUCCAUCAUUCAGCAGACAAUGUUGGAGUGCCUGCUGUUUGGCACAGGGUUGUAUUAGGUUACUAGAGAGUCUUAUUCAAUAGGGUUGAAAAAUGGGCAAUUUGCAAAAACUUUAUUACUCUCAAAACAGAGAAUGACUUGGUGAAAUUUAAUAUGGCUCAGAGAGACUGAAAGCAGCUACAGUGGAGCAGGCUCUCAUGAUUAUGGCUGAGGUGAAGACUGAGUGGCCUUCAAUGGAGAAAGAGACAAGAGCAUGGCAAGGACAGAAAGGACAAGAUGCCCAUGUCAGCCUGCACUGGAUGCACCCAGGGAUGUUCCCCCCUCCUUUUGCUGAGGUGGCCUGAGGAAGGUGAGAUUUUUCAACAGCACGUCAACUCAUGUUGAAUGCAUUGAGUGAGCAGUUGGCAUUCCUACCCUGCUCUGUAUCCACUCCACAUGUCAACUGUUCCUUCUUCUGGGCUGUAACAGGGUCAGCACCCACCUCUCAUGCAUGCCCCUCUUUUCUCUGUCCAAUAGUGCCAGCAAACAGUUCUUUUCACUGGGGCAUCACCCACCUCUCGUGGAUGGCCCCCUUUCUCUGAAAUAUGAGCCUGCUUUUGUUUUUUGGUCUUACAUCAGGGUGGAACCUGCCUCCCGCAAGCACCCCCUGACUGGUGGUCCUCUCGGCUGGUCUUUGGCAGGUCAGCCCUCCGGCUGAGCCGCACAUGCUGUCCCCCCUUCCAGAGUAUACAGUCAAAGCUCUUUUUCAGCCCUUGUAUGGGGUCAUAGUUCUAAGGCUUCUUCCCUGAGGCACUGCCUUCUUCAAACAUCCAGCCAGGGCCCAUCUCAGUACCCUCAGCUGGUGUCCUUUUCAGCAGCCCUCCCUAGGCUCAGUCUGCCACCAGACCAGCAGGCCCUAUCUUGGUACUCUCGCCUGGUCUGGCAGAUCCUGGGCUCAGCCUGCCCAAAUUGACCUUUUCAUGGUCCUGCUGCUACUCUAUCCAGACAGCUAGGCACAUGGUCUUUGGCGACCUCCGCUGGGCUCAGUUCUAUCUGGUGAACUCUCUGCAGUGAGCUAUCCGCAGUCCUGCUGUUCGUCUGGCCAGCCAGACACCCAGUCCUCCCUCAUUAAGCUUCACACAGCAACUGCACUUCUCUGCUCUGCUGCUUGUCUUAUAUAGGGCCCUUCUGGUCCCUCAUUGGUCACUCCAGCAGCCCCUCUGAUUGGCCACUCUUCUGUAGCUACUCUAGGCUGCCUGAAGGACUUCUCGCUGCUCUAUUCUGGGGCAGGGUGAUGGAGAAUCACAAAGUCUCCAGCAAGGGGCCUCCAGACCUAGUCCACCCUGCCACAUGGGGCUUGACUUUUAUGGUAACUCUGGGAAGAGUAAUGGAACAGAAACCCAGCUCAAGCUCUCUCCCUAAACCUAGAUCCCCAAGCUUGGCUGUCUCCAGUUUCCUGAAGGACCUCCCUGUCUCUGAUCCUUGUUCCAUCUGAUCCAGGGGUCAUACGCACCUCUCCUGGUGCCGGGGGAGUAGAAAAGCUGCACCUGCCACAGGAACUAAGCAUUUGUACUCACAGUUCCAACUCCUGCGAACAGGGUUGGUCAGCAGAUGAGCCAGGCUUCCCUGUGUGGGGCUGUGGGUCCUGCUUCCCUGUCACACCAUAUAAGAGAAAUAUUCUAGAACUUAACAUGUGGUGUAGAGUGUGCAAGGGGACUGGAUGAGAAGGGCUGUGCUGGUAACCGUGUGUGUGUGUGUUGUGGUGCUCCACCCUGUGGAAGGCUCCUGGCUGGUCACCUUGGAGCAAUGUGCACUGACAUUAAUUGCUGAUAAUUCACCAAGGACACAAGAUAAUGAGCAGGAAAAUAACAGAGAUUCACGCCUCUGUGCAGUAGGGCCUCCUGCUGUGAGCCUGAGCUGCCCCAUCUCCACAGCCCUUUGCCUGCUCUGACCAGGGCCAUGCUGCCACUGCAUGCGCUGUUGGUACUCCACGGAUAAUAAAUAGCCUGGAUAAACAGCAUCCCUCACUGGCCGGCUGCAGGGGCAGCUGGAACCCCAUUGCAUGGCAUCCUCAGGGCUCCAGCAAAACCUGAACUGCACUCUCACCAGACAGACAGCAGGAUCAACCCAUCCACCUCAUCAGGGAACCCUAGCCGCAGAGUUCUUCCUGGGAUCCUGCAGCCACCUGAUUCUGCUGUUAUCAUGGCCCUGGCAUUGGGGAAUGGUGGAGGCAGUUUUUCACUUAAAUUAAAGCCCAGCAGCAUCCCAGACACCUGGCAUUUCCUGAGGGUCGGGGUAUGUCUGUUCGUCUUAUGUGCAAUGGGAAAAAUGAAUGUGUGAAAACGGGGCACGUUGUUUAGUCCACUAAAAGCAAUGCAGGGUGCUGGAGUCUUGACCUGUGUUAGACUGAACUGUUCCUUAAUCCACCCUCCCAAUCACUGUGGAGUCCUGAUUGUCAAUCCCAAAGUGGUUGGUGUUACAAACAGCAGCAUGUGCAUGGGAUAAUUUAAUUUGCAUGCAUUUUUCCAGGUCAGCCCAGAGCAGCUUGGAAAUGUGCUCACUUAAGAGGCAAAUGUAGCACAGCUGGCUAUAAAUUACAGUAAUAUAUUGUGGGAGACCUAGCAAUGAGGUGCAUGUUGUUGAAGAGUGUCAUAGAUAGUAACCUAUUAAGCAAACUAUAAUUAUAAAUGUACCAUUGAAGACUUCACCAUUAUAAUUAACUCUGGCUCAGAACGUUAUCUCCAAGCAGAGUCAUGGUGAUUGAUUACGUUGGUUAGUGUCUAGGCUGUGAGAGGCAGGGUAACUGUUGAAAUAGAGAAGGAAGUAGAUUUUUUGUACUUGUCUCUAACGCUAAAAGAAUCUACCAGUUUGGCAAGCUCCUGGGUAGGACAGUUCUCCCGCAGGUCUGUGCCAGCUGCCAUCCCCAAAACGUCCAGAUAAUGACAUUCAGUAAGAAAAACUGGGGUCUUUACAAUAUCCUGGGAGAUGCGUUAUUGUCCAUGUGCUCAAAUAGUUCAAACACUGCUUUGUUAUAAAUGUGAGAUGAGAGCAGUUCGCUCAGACAACAGUUUGGAAUUUAAAGCCAUACACUCUGAUACACCCAAAUUUCAGAGCAUUCCCAGCAAAUUUUAAAAGCUUCUUGACUAACUGAGAAAGCAGAGUGCUAGAGAUCAGAAUGCAGGAUUGGGUGCCAGAUGCUCUCAGCUUUCAAUUCCACCUUUGCCAUUGAGUCCUUGAUUGUUGUGGGCGAGUCACUUAGGGUGGCGUUUUCAAACGUGGGAGCCUUACUAUACAACUGACCUGAUUUUCAAAGAUGCUGAGGCUUUACUCACAGCUCCCACUGGUUUCAGUGGGAGUUGCACAUGCUGAGCCCAACCAGCUCAGAACCACUGGGCAAGAAGGAAGCUCACAGGAGCCUAACCCAGCUCACUGCGGAGCUGACAUUAAUGCAGUAUGAGCAAAUGAUAAAUGCUCUAUUCGCUGAGUAUGGUGCCCUGAUGUAUUAAACAUGCAGAGAAGAAGGGAAGCAGCGUUUCAGGGGGACAGAGCAAACCCGGACUCCGGAGAGAAGGUGGAAUAUUGACCCUGUUAGAUUGUGGCUUAGGAAUUAUGGUGAAGAUCAGGGGUCAGCAACCUUUCAGAAGUGGUGUGCCGAGUCUUCAUUUAUUCACUCUAAUUUAAGGUUUCGCUUGCCAGUAAUACAUUUUAAUGUUUUUAGAAGGUCUCUUUCUAUAAGUCUAUAAUAUAUAACUAAACUAUAGUUGUAUGUAAAAUAAAUAAGGUUUUUAAAAUG